rnacentral:rRNA from 1 species
GAUGAACGCUAGCUACAGGCUUAACACAUGCAAGUCGAGGGGCAGCACGGAGAUAGCUUGCUAUCUUGGGUGGCGACCGGCGCACGGGUGAGUAACGCGUAUCCAACCUGCCCAUUACUCUGGGAUAGCCUUGCGAAAGUAAGAUUAAUACCGGAUGUUGUUAAAAACCCGCAUGAGUUUUUAACCAAAGAUUUAUUGGUAAUGGAUGGGGAUGCGUGACAUUAGGUAGUUGGUGAGGUAACGGCUCACCAAGCCGACGAUGUCUAGGGGUUCUGAGAGGAAGGUCCCCCACACUGGAACUGAGACACGGUCCAGACUCCUACGGGAGGCAGCAGUGAGGAAUAUUUGUCAAUGGACGAGAGUCUGAACCAGCCAAGUAGCGUGCAGGAUGACGGCCCUCUGGGUUGUAAACUGCUUUUAGUUGGGAAUAAAAAGAGGGACGUGUCCCUAAUUGUAUGUACCAUCAGAAAAAGGACCGGCUAAUUCCGUGCCAGCCGCCGCGGUAACAC